rnacentral:rRNA from 1 species
UACGAAGGGGCUAGCGUUGCUCGGAAUUACUGGGCGUAAAGCGCACGUAGGCGGCUUUCUAAGUCGGGGGUGAAAUCCUGGAGCUCAACUCCAGAACUGCCUUCGAUACUGGAAAGCUCGAGUCCGGGGAGGAGGUGAGUGGAACUGCGAGUGUAGAGGUGAAAUUCGUAGAUAUUCGCAAGAACACCAGUGGCGAAGGCGGCUCACUGGCCCGGUACUGACGCUGAGGUGCGAAAGCGUGGGGAGCAAACAGG